UGGGGAAUUUUGGACAAUGGGCGCAAGCCUGAUCCAGCCAUGCCGCGUGCGGGAAGAAGGCCUUCGGGUUGUAAACCGCUUUUGUCAGGGAAGAAACGGUCUGGGUUAAUACCUUGGGCUAAUGACGGUACCUGAAGAAUAAGCACCGGCUAACUACGUGCCAGCAGCCGCGGUAAUACGUAGGGUGCAAGCGUUAAUCGGAAUUACUGGGCGUAAAGCGUGCGCAGGCGGCCAUGCAAGACAGAUGUGAAAUCCCCGGGCUCAACCUGGGAACUGCAUUUGUGACUGCAUGGCUCGAGUACGGCAGAGGGGGAUGGAAUUCCGCGUGUAGCAGUGAAAUGCGUAGAUAUGCGGAGGAACACCGAUGGCGAAGGCAAUCCCCUGGGCCUGUACUGACGCUCAUGCACGAAAGCGUGGGGAGCAAACAGGAUUAGAUACCCUGGUAGUCCACGCCCUAAACGAUGUCAACUGGUUGUUGGGAGGGUUUCUUCUCAGUAACGUAGCUAACG
rnacentral:rRNA from 1 species